CCCCUCCCCACCCCGAGGCCUGUGCAACCUGGCACUGCUCCUGCGCUGGCAGGCUGGACCUCGGGGCAGCACAGGUACCAUAGUUGUUUCUGCAGACGCUGCGCGCUCCGCUCCGUCUUUCCUGUGGUCUCUGCCCUGCUGAACCUCGUAAGUUUACUGCCUGAGCACCAGAAUCGACCUCGAUCCCUGAAUGUAUGUAUUUCGGCUACUUAAACAUGCCUCCUGAGCUGUCAGAGUGGUGCUCGUUGCCCUUUCUUCGAAGGUGAGCGAACUUGAGAUUCAGGACUGAGAAAGGAGAUCACAAGUCAGACACGACCUCCUGUUGCUUCUCUAUCCGGUCUCUUGUUGCAGUUCAGGGUCAAAAAACUGACCACUCCAAACCAGUUCAGUCAGCAUCCCCUCCUCACCUAAGGACAGCACUUCUGCCAAUCACCUUCAAGGAAGCUCCAGGAACUAGACACAUCUGGCCCAGAGAGAGGUGGGGAACCUUCCCAGCAGUACUCUCUAGUGCCUGUAACAAACAAGGACUGAGCACGCCAGAAUUCCAUGGCCUGCUUCUCCACCUCCUUGUUAUCAUGGGCAAGUCAUUUGACUUCUCUGCUGGAUUCCAGAGAUGACAUGUAACCUGGACGAGUGACAGUAACUACCUAACAGAGAUGUCACACAGAUUAAUGCUGUAGGUCAGGUGUUCAGAAUAGGGCGUGGCAUCCAAGCUAAUCAAAGAAAUCACUCAGGACUGGUCACUGUUCUAUGUUGCCUUCUUAACGCGCUUCCGGAUGCCUGCCAGUACCUGCAACAUCCAGACAAGUCUUUGGGGGACACUCAGCUCUGGUGCAGCUUCACAGAGAUGGUAUCCAUGGGACCUGUAGACAGAAUUUACUCUGGUUGGGACUUUUGCCCUCCCCCAGACAGUGUUUGCCCUCUUCUGUUGAUGCUUUCCCAAUACCAUGAACAGUUACCUCCACAGCCUGAUCCUACAAGAUUUGACUCAGGUGAAAAACAACAUCCAAGUGUUGAGAAUGGAGAAGAGACAGCUGUGGGAGGAGCAGACUGCACUUCGAGAGACCUGUGAGGAGGUGAAGAAGCUCUUUAAGGAGGUCCAGGAGAAGAUCUGUGUUCCCUGUGCUAGCAGCAUCAGGUUGACUGAAGCAGUAGGGGCACACAGCCCACAUGGCCCACUAUGAACAUAGAAACAACCAUGUAACCAUGCACCCACAUAAUUUGUUCCACCUAAUGCCAUCCAAUUGUUCAUUUCGGAAGAUGAAACCCUGGAUGAAACGCUGAAGAACCUGCUGAUACAGAAGAUACUGAUCACCCAGAAAAGGACUUUGGCAGAAAAGUUGGAGCAUCUCUUCAGUGUCUUAGAGAUGAGGUCAAAAACUCUCCAGUCUCAAUUUGAACCAGCCCCAGCCAAGGAUAAGAGCCUCUUGCAGACAGAGCUGCUGCAGUAGGAGCCCUGAGUCUCACAGGCAAGUGAGCCAUCAUUUCCUCCCAUCACCAGCAAACAUAGCAUUGCUGGGUGAGGAGGACUAGGAGCUUUUGAACUCGGCUUCUUUCUAGUCUUUGGCCAAGCUAUUUGUAUGUCUGUUUGCAUUUCCUUCUCAUACAGCAGAUCUUGAAAGAAUUGAAGAGGCCAAAAAAGCCACACAUACCUUAAGACCAUGACAUUCUACAACCUCAGAUAUAGGACUCCAGUGAAGUCACAGUGAGGCAAAUAACAGCUGACCUCCAUAUGUCCCAUCCCCAGUAAGGCCCAUUGGUCUGUUGACUCAGUACUUCCAAGUAAAAGAAAACAUCAAAAAGGAGCUUGAGAUGCAGAAGACCUGGGACAAGAAUUAGUGAGAACCCUGAUCUUCAACAGACUAUGAGGGUACAGCAACAAGGAGGGUAGACAUGGCUAUAAUAGCUUUUGAAAGGCUUUUUCCAUCUGGUGACUGCCUUCCAACCAUGAUUCCAAGGCCAUCACAGGCUGUAAGUCUGUGAUGCUACAUCUUUAGCAAGAGAAUGCUGCUUAGCUUAAUUUAUUUAGUUUGGUUUUUGUUUGCUUUGGUUGUUUAGUUAUCUUUGUUAAGGUUUGAAUUUUUAUAUUUAUUUGUUCUUAAUUUUGUUGUUAUUAUUGUUUUUACAAGUCUACUCACUGUUUAUAUUGACUGUUCCCUUUAAGUCAUUUAGUAAACUGACUGUGUUUUUAGGAAUAUAAAUUGAUUUCCAACAUUCCUCUCUUAGAACUAGACUAUUUGUUCAAAUGUUCUCUCUCUCUCUCCCACUCCCACUCCCCCCU